CGACUCAAUUUCAUCUUGACAUUCAUCCGAAGUUGAAUCUCUAGCUCCAAGAACUUGCAAGUUGUGAAAUAUGUUGGUCCUGGUGACUUGUACUUUAAUUUUUGGGGCUCCAGACUUAAUAUUUGUUUGCAUCGCAACACACGCAGGCCAAGCUAUGGAUCUUUUUUCUUUUCUCUUUUUUAUGAAAUAAGUAAAUAACGUAGUGAUCUUAAUACCGUAGACAAGUGAAAAGUCCAAUUGACAUGAUCUAUGCUGCGCAUGUCAUUGUUUGGUUGGCACUUGACAGCCGGGCUAGAUUUCCAGUUAUAUAUGUAUUUUUCUUCUUGUUUUGGGCUUUCAAUUCAAAAAAUUCUGAAUUGAAGUUGAAAGUUCCUACAAAUAUGGCGGGAAAAUCGGACGCAAGGAAAAGCAGAGAGCCAAUGGGCAACGACGUUUAAAAAUCAGAAUCAUUGCCUAUUCCACUAAGCACUAAGUAACAUCAUCGGAUCAUCCAGUGUGACCUAGCCACCAAGGCACAGAUUGAUUGAUAUACCUGCAAUUCUUUUAGCUUAAUACAAAUAAGCAUGGUAAUUGUUUUCCUUCUUUGAUUCUUUG
rnacentral:lncRNA from 1 species